rnacentral:tRNA from 1 species
UCCCUGGAGGACUAGUGGUUAGGCCUCAGCGCUCUCACUGCUGCGGCCCGGGUUCGAUUACCGGUCAGGGAA